rnacentral:rRNA from 1 species
ACGAACGCUGGCGGCGUGCCUAACGCAUGCAAGUCGAGCGGGGAUGGUAGCUGAAGGUGAUGAGCUGGAAGCUGCCAUCUUAGCGGCGGACGGGUGAGUAACACGUGAGCAACCUACCCUCAGCACGGGGAUAACAGCUCGAAAGGGCUGCUAAUACCCGGUGGGACCACGUCAUUGCAUGGUGAUGUGGUGAAAGGGUGGACGUAAGGUCCAUACCGGCUGGGGAUGGGCUCGCGGCCCAUCAGCUAGUUGGUGGGGUAACGGCCUACCAAGGCGACGACGGGUAGCCGGCCUGAGAGGGUGACCGGCCACAGUGGGACUGAGACACGGCCCACACUCCUACGGGAGGCAGCAGCGGGGAAUCUUGCGCAAUGGGCGAAAGCCUGACGCAGCGACGCCGCGUGAGGGAAGGAGCCCUUCGGGGUGUAAACCUCUUUGGACGGGGAGAAGUAGGAGAUAGUACCCGUUUAAAAAGCCACGGCUAACUACGUGCCCAGCAGCCCGCGGUAAUACGUAGGUGGCGAGCGUUGUCCGGAAUUACUGGGCGUAAAGGGUGCGUAGGCGGCCUGGUAAGUUGAGCGUGAAAUUUUUGGGGCUCAACCCCAAAAGGAGCGUUCAAGACUGCCAGGCUUGAGUGCGGGAGAGGACGGCGGAAUUCCCGGUGUAGCGGUGAAAUGCGAAGAUGUCGGGAGGAACACCAGUGGCGAAGGCGGCCGUCUGGACCGUAACUGACGCUGAGGCACGAAAGCGUGGGGAGCAAACUAGGAUUAGAUACCCUGGUAGUCCUCGCUGUAAACGAUGGAUGCUAGG